GUUUGAUGGCAGUAGUCAGGCAGAAGCGGCUGAGGUUUGCAGGAAGGCUGUGGAGACGCUGCAGGAUUAUGUUCCUGUCCAAGUGCAUCUGACCACCCCUGCACCUGCUGCUCCAUCUGAUCCUGCAAAACCUGGACCGUCUACACAGCAGCAGCAGGCUCCUGAAGAUGCACCACAAGCGUUGUCAUGGAUCUGCUGUCAAUCAAACACCUUUCUCAGUACUUCCUGGGUGAGCUGAGAGCUGUCCCUGCCGAUGGCGUCUCAUCAGUGCACGCUGCCCUCUGGAGACCUGGAGGCACUACUGCGCGUCUGCCUGCUCGAUUCUGGUUUUCCUGCUUUCGUGGAGGAAGUCGAGAAGAAGAUGAAAGAGCUGAUGCAAGAAUGAGGUAGAGUGUGCUCUCAAAAUCACUGUUGUAGUUAACAAAAACUAAAACAGUUAAAACUAAAAUAAAACAAAAAUAUGUUCGUUAAUUGCA
ensembl:lncRNA